GAUGAACGCUGGCGGCGUGCCUAAUACAUGCAAGUCGAGCGAACAGAUGAGGAGCUUGCUCCUCUGACGUUAGCGGCGGACGGGUGAGUAACACGUGGAUAACCUACCUAUAAGACUGGGAUAACUUCGGGAAACCGGAGCUAAUACCGGAUAAUAUAUUGAACCGCAUGGUUCAAUAGUGAAAGACGGUUUUGCUGUCACUUAUAGAUGGAUCCGCGCCGCAUUAGCUAGUUGGUAAGGUAACGGCUUACCAAGGCAACGAUGCGUAGCCGACCUGAGAGGGUGAUAGGCCACCUGGGAACUGGGACACGGUCCAGGCUCCUACGGGAGGGAGCAGUAGGGAAUCGUCCGCAAUGGGGGAAAGCCUUACGGAACAACGGCGAGUGAGAUGUAAAGGUCCUCGGAUCGUAAAAACCUUUUACUAGGGAAGAACAAAUGUGUAAGUAACUAUGCACGUCUUGACGGUACCUAAUCAGAAAGCCACGGCUAACUACGUG
rnacentral:rRNA from 1 species